GUAGGUGGCAAGCGUUGUCCGGAAUUAUUGGGGCGUAAAGCGCGCGCAGGCGGUUCUUUAAGUCUGAUGUGAAGGGCCCACGGGCUCAACCGUGGAGGGUCAUUGGAAACUGGAGAACUUGAGUACAGAAGAGGAAAGCGGAAUUCCACGUGUAGCGGUGAAAUGCGUAGAGAUGUGGAGGAACACCAGUGGCGAAGGCGGCUUUCUGGCCUGUAACUGACGCUGAGGCGCGAAAGCGUGGGGAGCAAACAGGAUUAGAUACCCUGGUAGUCCACGCCGUAAACGAUGAGUGCUAAGUGUUAGGGGGUUUCCGCCCCUUAGUGCUGCAGCUAACGCAUUAAGCACUCCGCCUGGGGAGUACGGCCGCAAAGGCUG
rnacentral:rRNA from 1 species